rnacentral:rRNA from 1 species
UACGUAGGGUGCGAGCGUUAAUCGGAAUUACUGGGCGUAAAGCGUGCGCAGGCGGUUCGUUGUGUCGGCGGUGAAAUCCCCGGGCUCAACCUGGGAAUGGCCGUUGAAACUGGCGAACUGGAGUGUGGCAGAGGGGGGUGGAAUUCCGCGUGUAGCAGUGAAAUGCGUAGAGAUGUGGAGGAACACCGAUGGCGAAGGCAGCCCCCUGGGCCGACACUGACGCUCAGGCACGAAAGCGUGGGGAGCAAACAGG